UUUAAUAUAAAUAGCUAUAAAUUAAUGAAUAAAUGAUUAAAUCUGAAGUUUUAAGAAAAAUAUUUUAAAAAUAAAAAUAAUAAAUAGUAGAUUUUAUUGAAGAAUUAAAUAAGGCUGGCGAUAGUAAAAUAGUACUGAAGGGGAAAUUUGUAAUAGGUGUUUUAUAUAAAUAUAAAUUUUAGUAGAUUUAAAAAUUUGUACCUUGAGUAUCAGGGAUAAUCAAAAUUUAUAAUAUAUUAUUUAAAUCUCGAUAGGAAAGCGUCUAAUUAUAAUUUAUUAAUUUAUGUGAAAAAUAAUAUUUAAAAUAUAAUUAGUGGUGAAAUGUUUAUCGAAUUUUUUAUAUCUAGUUGCUUUUGAAAUAAAUUUAAUUUAGUUUAUUUUUUUAUUGAGAAAUAAAUAAAGUAUAGGAGGGAAGAGCUUCUUAUACAAAAAUGUAGUAGUAGUGGAAAAAUAUAUAAUUGUUUAGUAUAAAUAGGCUUAAGGGUAGCUAUUUUUAUAAAGUGUUUUAACUAAUAAACUAAGCAUGAAGUAAUAAUUCUUUACUAUAGUAAAUAGCUUUUAUAUAUAAUGUUUAAAUAUUUGUAAUAAUGAUUUUAUUAGUAACAUUUAUUAUUUAUAAUAAUAAAUAAAUUUUUAUUAAUUUAUAAAAAGGAAUUGUUUUUAUAAAGGAACUCGGCAAAUAAAAAUUUCUGCCUGUUUAUCAAAAACAUGUCCUAUUGGAGUUUUAAUAGGUUUGGCCUGCCCACUGAUAUUUAAAGGGCCGCGGUAUAUUGACCGUGCGAAGGUAGCAUAAUCAUUAGUUUUUUAAUUGAAGGCUUGUAUGAAUGGUCGGACAAGAAAUAAGCUGUCUUUAUAAAAUUUAUUGAAUUUAACAUUUAAGUAAAAAGGCUUAAAUAAAUCAAGGGGACGAUAAGACCCUAUAAAGCUUUAUAAUUUUUUUAAUUUAUUAAGAACGGGUUGUAGAAAUUAAUUUAUUAGAGAAAUUAUUAUGUUGGGGCGACAGAGGUAGAAUUUAUAGGUAUCUGCUUUAUUUUUAUAACAUUAAUUUUUGAAUAUAUAAUUGAUCCUAAAUUAUAGAUUAUAAGUUUAAGUUACUUUAGGGAUAACAGCGUAAUUUUUUUUGAGAGCCCUUAUCGAGAAAAAAGUUUGCGACCUCGAUGUUGAAUUAAGUUAUCUACUUAUAGUGCAGCAGCUAAGAAUAGAUGGUCUGUUCGACCUUUAAAUACUUACAUGAUUUGAGUUCAAACCGGCGUGAGCCAGGUUGGUUUCUAUCUUUUGAUAUAGAGAAAUUUUUUUAGUACGAAAGGAUUAAAAAGUUUAAAUAUUUUAUAAAUUAAUAAUAUUGAUAAAAUUUAAUUAUGAAAUUGCUAAUAAUUUUGUAAAGAUGAAUAUAGAGAUCAAUGUUUAUAUCAUUGAAGGUAAAAUAUUAUUAGUUAACUAUUUUUAGUUUU
rnacentral:rRNA from 1 species